CCGCAUAAGCCCUUAGCACUGCAUGGUGCAUAGGGAAAAGGAGCAAUCCGGUACAGGAUGGACCCGCGUCUGAUUAGCCAGUUGGCAGGGUAACGGCCUACCAAAGCGACGAUCAGUAGCCGAUCUGAGAGGAUGUACGGCCACAUUGGGACUGAGACACGGCCCAGACUCCUACGGGAGGCAGCAGUGGGGAAUAUUGCACAAUGGAGGAAACUCUGAUGCAGCGACGCCGCGUGAGUGAAGAAGUAUUUCGGUAUGUAAAGCUCUAUCAGCAGGGAAGAAAAUGACGGUACCUGACUAAGAAGCACCGGCUAAAUACGUGCCAGCAGCCGCGGUAAUACGUAUGGUGCAAGCGUUAUCCGGAUUUACUGGGUGUAAAGGGAGCGUAGGUGGCAAGGCAAGCCAGAAGUGAAAACCCGGGGCUCAACCGCGGGAUUGCUUUUGGAACUGUCAUGCUAGAGUGCAGGAGGGGUGAGCGGAAUUCCUAGUGUAGCGGUGAAAUGCGUA
rnacentral:rRNA from 1 species